GGAAUAUUGGUCAAUGGACGCAAGUCUGAACCAGCCAUGCCGCGUGAAGGAUGAAGGCGUUCUGCGUUGUAAACUUCUUUUAUCUGGGAAGAAACCUACGAUUUCUAUUGUAGCCGACGGUACCAGAGGAAUAAGCACCGGCUAACUCCGUGCCAGCAGCCGCGGUAAUACGGAGGGUGCAAGCGUUAUCCGGAUUCACUGGGUUUAAAGGGUGUGUAGGCGGAUUAUUAAGUCAGUGGUGAAAUCUCCGGGCUCAACCCGGAAACUGCCAUUGAUACUAUUAGUCUUGAAUUCUGUUGAGGUGGGCGGAAUAUAUCAUGUAGCGGUGAAAUGCUUAGAUAUGAUAUAGAACACCGAUUGCGAAGGCAGCUCACUAAACAGCUAUUGACGCUGAGGCACGAAAGCGUGGGGAUCAAA
rnacentral:rRNA from 1 species